CCCGCUGGGUCCCGGGACGAGCUCUCUGCAGACCCCGCCCGCCCGCCCCGCCCUCCAAGCUGCCGCGAACACCCGGAGGAGCGGAUUUGCGUAGCGCGGGCAGCUGGGCCGGCUCGGGCAGCGGACUGGGCAUGCUCGGCAGCCCGGGAGGCUCGCGGUGGCUAGUCGGAAGCGUUCGCACCAGCUAGGCAGCGGUCGGGGCAGCGGCGGCGGCAGCGAGGGGCAGCACGGGAGCGGGAAGAGCCGGCCAGGGAAGGCUGCUCUCUCCUAGCGCCCGGUGAGCCGGAGAGAGAGCGCAAUCCGGGUACGGAGCCCCAACGCUGCCCUGCCCCGGAUUUCAUUCCGCGGCUGGGGGCUCGGCGAGCGGAAUUCCGGCGGCUGCCGCGACUCCGGUGCAAAGUGAGGACAGCAUGAACAUUCCUAAGUGUGCCUCUGGGCAUAUUUAGCCAUUCGCUUUUGAUUAGAAGAAAGAAGAAGGCCAUCCACUUGAAAGGUGAGUAAAGAUUUCCAUGUGUCUUUUUAUUACAAAAAUUUUCAAACUUACUGAAGAGGUAAAGGAUAAGCAGCAAGUUUUUAUGUGUCCACUACCUACAUUUAACAUUUGUUAGCAUUUUGCCAUAUUGUGUGUGUGUGUUCAGGUUUCCACAUUUUCCUACUGAAACAUGUGAAAGUAAGUUUAAGAGAUCAUGAUGUUUUUAUCUUCAAUUCUUGGGGAUGCAGUUCCUAAAAAUAAGGCUAUUCUCUCCCAAGAGGGAGUUUAGAACAUGUAUAAACUCUAUGGCAGAAUCAUUUAGUUAAGUACAAUUAUAUUUAGGCAGUGAUUUACUUAGUGGACAGACCUGUAAUGUGAAUUUGUUUGAUAUGAAAAACAUCUGAAUAUAAAAAAUUGGAAUUUGCACUCUGCAUGUGCCCUGCGUAGCAGAGGAUUCCUGUGUUUUCUCUGUUCCUGGUAAUGUGCUGGUCUGCCCCACUGUGGCUGAUGUUUGUUCUUAGGUCAGCGGAUCAGAUUACUGUUCUUCCUCCUGCCUAAUCAGCCUUCACACGUAGCCCAAUCUCUGGAUCUAAUGUGAUCAAAGGUCUUAACUGAUUUUUUUAAACCAAAACUUACAGGAGAAUAUGAAAAGAACAUGAGUAGUGUUGUCUAGUUGAGUUUCAGUUCAGUCGCUCAGUCGU
rnacentral:lncRNA from 1 species